rnacentral:lncRNA from 1 species
AAAUAUCAUUUUUAACUUCAAAUGAAAAACUUAUACCAUAUCCUUGCAAAUUUCUACAAAAGAAAAGGCAAAAAGCAGAAAGCUGGAAAGACCAUGGUUACAUGACUAAGAAUAGUAAAAUUAUGUCCAGGUUUCAACAACAAUAGCUCCGAUCCAAUGCUAAUAAUUUAACAUUAAAAUUUAAAAAGCCAAGUAAAUUUGGUAGCAAGAAAACAACAGCCCCAAUGGACAGAACAACAAAUCUUUUAGCAUUGGCUUCAAGAAAUGCUCUAGACAUAUUAAGUGUUCCUUUACAGCCAGCUCAAAUUGUCUACCUUCCUUAAUAUGAGUAAUCGAGUUUGUAAUCUGUGUUACCAGUCAAAAGAGAGGUUAGAAUAACAGAUUACAAUGGUUACAAUAAAUCUCUAUUUUUAUCAAAUAAAUAGGAUUACAAGCUUAUUAACUGAAAAUUGGCUUUCAAAAUUAUGGUGGAUUGAAAAAGAAAAAAAAAACAUACUUUACAAGGAUUUGAGAUAAAAAAAAAUGUAAUCAGUUCCAACUGAGAUAAAAAAAAAAAAAAAAAAAAAGAGAGAUAAAUGCAUACUUUACAAGUUCUAGGAAUUGGUUUGUAUCACACCCAAUAAUUUUUUCCUUUAGACAUAAAAGAAUAUUCAAAAUGAGAUAAAUAUUGUAGUGAUGAUGAAUGUUCAAACUGAAGGGAGCAUAUAAUUGUUCAAAUGUUCCCAGAUGGCCAAUAAUCGACUAAGGUGGCAAAAGAUUGAUAUAGUCUAAACUGCAGAUCUGCAAUAAAGUAAAUACAUACAUAUAUAUAUAUGUAUAUAUUUAUAUAUAUUUAUAGAACCCUAAACCCAAUCGUAAAUGCCAAUGCAUUAACCAGAGGAUAAAAAAAAAAUUUAAGAACAAAAAACAGAAAUUAAGAACUUACAAUUGAAAAAAAUAUGUUAAAAAAUAAUGAUCAAUUGCCUUUACUUUAAUACCCAAUCACAUGGGUUUCUCUUGAGCUUCAAUUCCUUUUUAUGGUCAAGGGAUUCUAAGAAGGGAUGUGAGAAAAGAGGCUAACGAGGUUUCUACAAACUGGAAAAGAAAACUUG